rnacentral:rRNA from 1 species
UACGUAGGGUGCAAGCGUUGUCCGGAAUUAUUGGGCGUAAAGAGCUCGUAGGCGGUUUGUUGCGUCGGCUGUGAAAACCUGAGGCUCAACCUCAGGCCUGCAGUCGAUACGAGCAGACUAGAGUGUUGCAGGGGAGACUGGAAUUCCUGGUGUAGCGGUGAAAUGCGCAGAUAUCAGGAGGAACACCGGUGGCGAAGGCGGUUCUCUGGGCAUGACCUGACGCUGAGGAGCGAAAGUGUGGGGAGCGAACAGG